GACCAGCGGAGGGAUCAUUACCGAGUGCGGGUCCUUUGGGCCCAACCUCCCAUCCGUGUCUAUUGUACCCUGUUGCUUCGGCGGGCCCGCCGCUUGUCGGCCGCCGGGGGGGCGCCUCUGCCCCCCGGGCCCGUGCCCGCCGGAGACCCCAACACGAACACUGUCUGAAAGCGUGCAGUCUGAGUUGAUUGAAUGCAAUCAGUUAAAACUUUCAACAAUGGAUCUCUUGGUUCCGGCAUCGAUGAAGAACGCAGCGAAAUGCGAUAACUAAUGUGAAUUGCAGAAUUCAGUGAAUCAUCGAGUCUUUGAACGCACAUUGCGCCCCCUGGUAUUCCGGGGGGCAUGCCUGUCCGAGCGUCAUUGCUGCCCUCAAGCCCGGCUUGUGUGUUGGGUCGCCGUCCCCCUCUCCGGGGGGACGGGCCCGAAAGGCAGCGGCGGCACCGCGUCCGAUCCUCGAGCGUAUGGGGCUUUGUCACAUGCUCUGUAGGAUUGGCCGGCGCCUGCCGACGUUUUCCAACCAUUCUUUCCAGGUUGACCUCGGAUCAGGUAGGGAUACCCGCUGAACUUAAGCAUAUCAAUAAGCGGAGGAAAAGAAACCAACCGGGAUUGCCUCAGUAACGGCGAGUGAAAGCGGCA
rnacentral:rRNA from 1 species